rnacentral:rRNA from 1 species
AUGGAGUCCAGAAUGGCCUGCUGCUCCGCCAUCGCGGCCAUUUGGGUGACUGCGAACUCCUUCUUCACACCCUCCAUGUUGAAGCCCGGAGCCAGCACCAGCUCCUUCGGCUGCUCCACCUCGUUCUCCCCCGGUUCCGUCACCUCCAUCGGGGCCGGCUGCUGCUCCUCUUCCUCCUCCUCCUCCUAUUCUUCUUCCUCCUCCUACUCUUCCUCCUCCUCCAGCUCCGGUGAGUCCGGAGGCACGCCGCAGCGAUGCGGGCGGCGCGCCUCACCCGGAUCUCCUGCUCAAUCUAGAAUCGACGCUUCGGCGUGA